UCUUCUGUGGCGCAAUUGGCUAGCGCGUUCGACUGUUAAGCUGUCCUAGCUACUGCAAUCGAGAGGUUGGAGGGUAAGCACAAACUUGUACAGUGGUGAAGAUCCAGAAAACUAACAGUUCAUCAGUUCGAGCCCUCCCAGAAGAG